CCCGGACACCGUGCAUGCCCAGCCACGCUGCACCCCACACACCCCUGGGCCAGGCUCUGACCGGAGCAAGGUGCUGCCGGCUCAGCCGGGCUUGCUCCUCGUAGUAGGGCUGCUUCUCCUGGUUCGUCAUGGAUUUCCACCGGGAGCCUGCGCAGAGAGGAGCCAUGGGACGUGCUUACACCCCACCUGCUGUGAUGAAACCCACACUGGCUCCCGGCUGGGGUAGCCAUCACAGGCGUUAAUUAAUGCUCAUAUCAUCCCCUGUGCAAAUGGCACCUGAAUUUGCGCAGAGCUGCGCUUUCGAUCCUCUCCAAGGUAUGGCGAGCAGGUGCUGCAGCUAAAAUAGGCUGUGCCGGCGUGUGACUCGCGUUCCCCCACUGGCUGACCUUUAUUGUCAUCGCUGCCAGCACCCCGGGCAGGAGGGUAAUGCAGGGCACAGCACAAAGGCUGCUGGGCUGGGAGAGGGGCUCGGGCUGGCGGAGAGAAGGGAUUAAUCCCCUCAGCUCAGCAACUGGGAGGCUGCAGCUGGCCCAGCGUCCAGUUUGUGAGAGAGAAGGACAAGAGAGAUGCUUGGAGAUCCUCAGCAUCCUUGGAGAUGCUCAACAGGACACAGCCCUGAGCAUCGUGAUGGGACUAUGGAGUUAGCCAGGCUCUGAGCAGGGCUUUGGGCUGGCCACCUCCGGAGACACCCCCCCAUCACCAAAAUGCUCCCGUGAGUCCUCACGUGCCCUUUUCCUGGGUGUCCUGUACCCACUAGCACAGCCCAGCUCCCCCAGGGAACUCCCACACCCACACCAUGAGCCAGGUGGCCCAGGUAAACCGAGGCAUGGAGGUGUGCAAGCCCCUUGCCCAUGGUGUCCUCCACUGGCUCCUUCCCCACACGCUCGGCCCCUCGCCUCAGACCUACAUUUCCAGGAGCAGGAGAGCACACAGGAACCGAACCCCCCCGGCCUGGGUGCACACCGCCUCCGGACCACUCGUCCACCUGCUAAAUUGGGACCCCUCGAGCAGCGCGCGGCUCCGGCUCCCCGGGCAGAACCGCACCAGCUAUUUAAAGCCACGGACAUCUACUGUGACAGCAAGCGGCUCGCCGCAGAACGCCCGCUCCUGGACCCCCCCCGGUCCCCGCGGUCGUGAGAGAGCUGCUGAAACGAGUUCCGUGGCAGAGCGAGGGGUGCGUGUCGGAGGUAACCUGCGGCGCACGCUCGCUCGCUCCCGGCCCUUCCCACGGGCUCGCUGCCGACCACACCGCUCGCUUUUAAUAGCUUUUAAUGGCCGUGGCGAAGGGCUGGUGUGACCGAGAGCUGCAGCGGGACCGCUGCUGUCAGGGGGAUGCGAGACGUUGCCCGCAUGAGGCUCCUGCUGCUGCAGGCACCUCCAAGAGUGAUGCUGCUACAACCAGGGGAGCAUCAUCCUGGUGGGCAUCACCCGUACGUGGGUGGCCGAGGAUGAGCGGAGAGAGCAGCCGGGCCCUCUGCAGGGAUGCAGCAGCCGGGCCCUCCGCGGGGAUGCAGAAGUGGGGUCCUGCCCCAGACCCACCCCACCCCCC